UACGGAGGGGGCUAGCGUUGUUCGGAAUUACUGGGCGUAAAGCGCACGUAGGCGGCUUUGUAAGUUAGAGGUGAAAGCCCGGGGCUCAACUCCGGAAUUGCCUUUAAGACUGCAUCGCUAAAAUUGUGGAGAGGUAAGUGGAAUUCCGAGUGUAGAGGUGAAAUUCGUAGAUAUUCGGAAGAACACCAGUGGCGAAGGCGACUUACUGGACACAUAUUGACGCUGAGGUGCGAAAGCGUGGGGAGCAAACAGG
rnacentral:rRNA from 1 species